CAGUACUAUGAGUACUUUUACUUUCAUACUUUAAGUACAUUUAGCUGAUAAUAAAUACAUACUUUUUCUUAAGUAAGGUUUUGAAUGCAAGACUUUUAACCGUUGUGGAGUAUAUUCACGUUAUAGUGUGUUAUUAGUACUUUUACUGAAGUAAAGGAUCUGAAUACUGCUUAUCUGAUGGCUGUUGAACCCCACAGAGUCAGGGCAGACCUGAGCUUCUUAGGAUAGUUUCAGGGGGAUUCGUGUUUAAUAAGUAUAAUUAGGAGAACAGUCAGACAACAAGUUUUAACCAUAGACCGGAUUUAAAAAGGUUUUGACGAACUCUACUGAUGUCCGCGCAUCAAUGGCUGCAAUAAAGCUGGCCGCCAUGGGCAGCACUGACCACAAUGCAUCAGUCCGUCAGAGAGGAAGCUUUCGCGCCAUCUUGGAUUUCACAUUAGUUGUUUUGAAUUUGAUGAAAUUCGCUGGCGCUCCAUCGGUGUAAACAGAGUUUUUGUUACUUUACAAGCGCCUAAAAUCGACGUGAAUUCUCCUGAACUGUUGCAGAGAAGUUCACCUGUCCUCCAGGUUGAAAAUACUACCUUCCUGUUUUGGCGGCGCUGCAACAUGUUAGCUUCACAUUACAACGCUGCUACUUCCGCUCAUGGACAGACCUGUCAUGCGCAGUGCUGCCCUCUGCUGGCCACACACACAGCCUGCUCCAAUUAUACUUAAAUGUAACUCUUUUUUUUGUUUUUUUGUUUUUUUUCUACAUGAGUUUUUCCAGCGAUCAUCUCAUCAGAAAAAUGCAUUAAUAUUCUUUAACUUUAUCAAGUUUGGGUGUGUUUUUAUUAAAUGUUUAUUUCACUGUGA